GCGGGAAUAGCUCAGUGGUAGAGCACAACCUUGCCAAGGUUGGGGUCGCGGGUUCGACCCCCGUUUCCCGCU
rnacentral:tRNA from 1 species